AUUGACCCCUUCCCUUAGCUUUUGUGGCUUCUGUGUCGCAUGUGUGUCAGUAGGUGUUAGAGAAGAGGGAAGCUAUGUCAUUAUUCAGUGUUUUGGUCUGUAAACAUGUGAAUAAUUAGUAACCUAAAAUU